GAUGAACGCUGGCGGCGUGCCUAAUACAUGCAAGUCGAGCGAACAGAUGAGGAGCUUGCUCCUCUGACGUUAGCGGCGGACGGGUGAGUAACACGUGGAUAACCUACCUAUAAGACUGGGAUAACUUCGGGAAACCGGAGCUAAUACCGGAUAAUAUAUUGAACCGCAUGGUUCAAUAGUGAAAGACGGUUUUGCUGUCACUUAUAGAUGGAUCCGCGCCGCAUUAGCUAGUUGGUAAGGUAACGGCUUACCAAGGCAACGAUGCGUAGCCGACCUGAGAGGGUGAUCGGCCACACUGGAACUGAGACACGGUCCAGACUCCUACGGGAGGCAGAGGUAGGGAAUCUUCCGAAAUGGGCGAAAGCCUGACGGAGCAACGCCGCGUGAGUGAUGAAGGUCUUCGGAUCGUAAAACUCUGUUAUUAGGGAAGAACAAAUGUGUAAGUAACUAUGCACGUCUUGACGGUACCUAAUCAGAAAGCCACGGCUAACUACGUG
rnacentral:rRNA from 1 species